CCUACGGGGCGCAGCAGUGGGGGAUAUUGCACAAUGGGGGAAACCCUGAUGCAGCGACGCCGCGUGGGUGAAGAAGCGCCUCGGCGCGUAAAGCCCUGUCAGCAGGGAAGAAAAUGACGGUACCUGAAGAAGAAGCCCCGGCUAACUACGUGCCAGCAGCCGCGGUAAUACGUAGGGGGCAAGCGUUAUCCGGAUUUACUGGGUGUAAAGGGGGCGCAGACGGCGAUGCAAGCCAGGAGUGAAAGCCCGGGGCCCAACCCCGGGACUGCUCUUGGAACUGCGUGGCUAGAGUGCAGGAGGGGCAGGCGGAAUUCCUGGUGUAGCGGUGAAAUGCGUAGAUAGCAGGAGGAACACCGGUGGCGAAGGCGGCCUGCUGGACUGCAACUGACGUUGAGGCCCGAAAGCGUGGGGAGCAAACAGGAUUAGAUACCCCAGUAGUC
rnacentral:rRNA from 1 species